GCCCGACGGGCUCGGGCGGCCGUUCCCGCCCGCCGGGAAGAGAAGAGGAAACGGGAGCCUUAGCUCACUCGGGCCUGCAGCCUUGCUUCCCCACCCCCACGCUCCCCUAAGUUCGUGAUCAGUAAUUUUCCAGUCGGGAAAUGUUUUCGCCCUCGUCUCUGCAAGCAGUGCCUUUCUUUUCCUCCUCCUCCUCCUCCUUCAUCUCCCAAACGUGAGCGUGGUGCUCGGUGUCGCCUCCCCAACGGAGGCUUGCGAGGUGCUGGGUUUGCACCGGAGGCUCGCGGAGCCGGGCCUCACCCGCCCUGCGCGGGGCCUCCUCACCGCGGGCCCAGGGCUGCCUCCUGCUUGAAGUCGAUGUCACCUGUUUGUUGGAGUGCCCCCGAUUCUGCUACCUGUUAGGUUUCCCCAGAAUAUGUAUUAUCCCUGAUUUUUCCGCUUCUUGCCGGCCACGGAAGCAUUCUUGGAAUGCAUCUCAUCCCGAGUGAAUCCGCUCGGCCCUCUCUCUGCCAACGACAGGAAUCCCUCUAGGUCCCGAGAGUUGGAGACUUGGAUGCAGGUGCCUGGUGUGACAACAGGGUUAUGACCCUCCCUCUUUUCAGAACAGGUGGGAGAAGAUGACAGAAGCCGUCAGUUACUGACCGGAGUGGAGACUUGGAGGAGUGUGAUUGAUUGAAAAGGCUCAACAUGCUUCAAAUGAAGGACUCUGCAUCCAGGAUGCACCAGAUCUGGGCAAAUAACAGCUCCCCAGGGAGCCUGGCUGCACCCUGGCCUGGGUUGUCUGCAGAACUGCCUCAAGAUUCAGGAAAAGCUGGGGUGGUUUGUUUUUUUUAAUGUUUUUUGUUGUUGUUUUAUUUUGCUUUGUUUUUGUUUUGUUUUUCAGAAGGUGGCAAAGCUUUUCUCAGCCUCCACUUUUAUUCCUUGGAAACUCCAUCCUUUUUCACCUUGGUCAUGUGUGAAAGGUUAAAAAAGUGGGCUUAAGCACUAAAUUGCCUGGGUUUGUUUUCUGGCUCUGCUGAUUUUAGGUGGCCAGGUUAUUUGGCCUCACUUUGCUUGUUUCUUCUGUAAAAUGGGGAUAGUCAUGGUACCUACUUCUUAAAUUGAUGAGAUCAUAAGUGAGAUUAUCAGGUAAAGUAUUUAACGCAGCCCCUGAUGCUCCCUGCAUGAUAGGAUUACUGUCACCAGUAUUCUCCAGGGUACUAUAAACUUCAUAAGGAAGGGAGCUAUUGGCUUGCCCACCGCUGCAUCUCCCAGUCCUUAUACAGUGCCUGCCUGGUACAUAGGGAUGCUCUGUGUUUGUUGAAUGAAUGAAUACUGUACUUCAGCAGGAAGUUGGUCUUUCAGCCCUCCAUUGGAGGCUCAUGAAUCCCCUUUUUUUGUCAAGAGCUUCAGUCCACCCAGUCGUAUCCUAAUUUUUCCUAGGUUGUUUGAUCACUUCCCCAGCCUCCCAAACUAGAAACCUAGAUUCUCCUUAACUCCUCCCUCAUUUUCUUUUUAUUUUUUUUUAAGAUUUUGUUUAUUUGAUAGAGAGAAAUUGGGGCUCCCUCCUAAGCAGGGAGCAUGAUGUGGGACUCGAUCCCAGGACUCUGGGGUCAUGACCUGAGCCGAAGGCAGAUGCUUAGCCAACUGAGCCACUCAGGUACCCUCCUCCCUCAUUUUCUUUGCCCUGGGCAUUUAGGCAUCCCCAGAGCUCAACCAUUUCCAUUCCUAAAUGACUCCGCUACCUUUGACAAAAUUGGGCUGCCUUGGUUCAAGCUCUCCUCGUUUGUGGCUUUUAAUUCUUGCGGUGGCUUCCAAACUGUUGUCUUCCUCCUCCUGUUUCUCCACCACCUCCCCCAAAGUCCCACUGGAAUUUCCCUGCUAGAUCUAGUCCAUUUUUAUCACAAAUCACUCCUUAGCCUCCUGUACCACACUCUUCCUACCAUGGCCCUCGACAAACUUUGCAGAAUCAUCUCCAGGGACUGACCCCACCCUCCCUAAACUUUAACUGGAUGUUCUCUCAAGUCUGAAUACACGAUGUGUUUUCUUCAUUGGCUCUUUUUCUAUCUGAAAUGCCUUUUUUCCCCUUGGGGGCUCUCCUCAUCCUCAAACUCCUGAGCCCCUUUUAUUAUCCCUUGGGCUACCAGUCCCCAACUGGGUUAGUCCUCUUCCCUCUGAGCUCCAGUAAAGCUGGGUGGUGACUCUGCUUUGCCAUUUAUUUACCCAGCGGAUUCCAUGAUCUGGUUACUUGUUCGUGGCUCCUGUUCCACUGUGGCAUCUUUAGGACAAAUGCCCAGUGAGUAUGCAUUUUAGAAGGAAAGAAGCAAAGCUGCCCUGGUGAAAUGAUUCAUCUGGAAGCCUUGUUCUUCCCUAUCUUGUCAGUAAGGUUUUUCUCUGGUUCAGAGUUCACUGGCUUGGUUCUCUGUUUUCCAGACCCUCUCUUCCCUUCACCCACUUCUUUUCUUUCUUUGAAAAGUGCUAGGAAGCAGACAGAAAAUAAAGUCCCUCAUAACUCUGCCCUCACAAAACAGACAAACAGUGAGAGAACAGCCCCGGCCAAGGCAUUGUAAUAAAACAAACUAGAAAACACAAACAAAAAUAACCAAAAGCCAAACCAAAACCAAAUGGAGAGAGAGUCAACUCUUUUCUGUAGCCAAAUCCAUUGCCUUUCAAAACCCAAACAUUGGGUAUUGAAGUUUUUAGAGCAGAAAAUGAGUCACAGACAUUUAAAAAUCAAUUCUCAGAAAUUUAAAAAUCUUUCUCAGGAACUUUUAGGUUUGAUCACUUAAGUGACAUUUUGAGCUCCCAAAUUUUAAGUUCUACCUUCUUUAAGCUGUUUAAAAAGAAGUUCUAAACUUAAUGGGAUUAUCUUAAAGCUGUUUGAACUGGCAACAGUUAGCUAAAUUCAGGUUUUCAGAGUCUUUGUCUUAUUCUGAGACGCUAAGAAGAUACAAAAACCCCUCUCUUUAGGCUGUUUAAGUACAGCGUAGUAUCUUUUAAAAGUAGGAUACAUGGUGGUAAUAUUUCUUUUAAAAGAUUAGGGUCUGACGUUUACCAGCUUUGUCGAGCAUGAUUGUUUUUAUAAGCACCAAAGAAUCUUCUGAUACUAUAUGCAUCUGAAAAUAAAAAUAGCAUCUAAGAGUAAAAGAACUAGCAAACAAGGCAAAUCAACAGAAAAAAACCCAUGGCUAGAGUUUUCUUCUUGACUUGGUUCACCAAAUUCCCCUGGCUCGUUAAACUCUUUCCUGGGGAGAAUGAGCAGGGGAAAGAACUAAGACAUGUUCUCAGAUUCCAUUUUCUUAAUUUAAAAGCCUUAGUCCCUUAGAGUCUUAGAGUAGGACAGCCGUAGGAAAACAUGGUUCCUUGGUUUGAGUCAGAAUGGAGGUAAAAAAAAAAAAAUUUGCAUUAUGGAAAGUCUAGGGAUUUGGAGGUUCAAAAAUGAAUGCUUCACACCCUGAGAAAUGCAAACAAGAAACAAACAAUUCUGUAUUUAAUUUUCUUCUCCGUUUGUGGGCCGGACAAGAGGAUAGGUUAUUUUUGCCAAUUUGACAUUAUGUACUUUGAGCCAAGGAAAUGAUUUUUAAAAAAAUAAUAAUAACAAUGCAUUUGAUUACCCUGUGCCUGCGGUUGACUCUUUUUCACAAACACUGUGUUUGUUAAUCAAUUUUAACGUACUGUCUGGUGUGGAUAGUGCUAGCUAGGAGGAUGGCCAGUGCCAGUGUUAAAAAAAGGAAAAAAAAAAAAGGCCAAAAUUAAUUUCUGGCAGCACUAAAUAUCUCAUUGUGGUCAAUGCAUUUUUCAAAGUUGAUAACUCAAAUCUAGACACACGCUCGUCUAUCAAGGGAUGACCAGAAGCUUUUUUGAAAGAGGAAACCCAAGAAGAGUUACCUAACCUUAGAGGAAUUCCCAGCAUUUUAAUAGAGAUUCAAGAAGGUAAUCUAUUCAGACUGCAUUCAGUCUAUGUUGUCAGUUAACUGAUGAAUUUUUCUGGUUGCUACAUUUACCCAACAAAGCUCUCAGAGCCAAGUGUUUAUGGGAAACACUGAACUGUUGAAUUUCAAUGUUCUCUGUUUCAUUCAGCAAACUUGGUUUUCCAUUCAAAUAGCAACUCCUUUGGGCUUCUUAAAGGACUGGCCAAGGUCUUUGGGCUAUCUGGAUGCAGUUUACAGUGUCACCAUCUGAGUUGAAUUCUCUGUGCCUUCUUGUUAUAACUCAGUGAAAGGGGGUGUCUUGGCCGAAUUCAAAGGGUUGUGGGAGAGGAAGGAAAGGGCUUGAACUGAAAGUAGUGAGUGUGGCUACUCUGGGGGAGAUGGCUGGGGCUGCCACCCAGGCCCUCUUACUGCCUCCUACUAACUGCAUGACCUUGAGUGAGUGAUGUCACCCGGCUCCACUCCACUUUCCUGAUCUGUGUCAUGGGACUGUGAAUAUACCUGCCUCCCAAAGCUGAGGUUUUAUUUGGUUAUGAAAGGUACCAUGAAUGUUUGCUUCUCCCCUCUGGCAGUGAAACCUGACACAAUUCUCCCCCUGAUAAACUUGAAAUGGGUUCUGCAGUCCCCAACACGGGGAAAUGAUACAGUGUCUGGAUUUGAAAACCAAAAAGCCAGGGUGCCAGGCUGGCUCAGUCAGUGAAGCAAGAGAUUCUUGACCUCAUGGGCCAGAGCUCAAGCCCCACCUUGGGCAUAGAGAUCACUUAAAAAUAAGAAAGAAGACUAAAAUACUUCUUCACAGAAUCUUCUUCCCCCCCAAAUGUCCCGGCAUCCCUGCAGAUGCAACCACUAAGGAACAUCCUCAGCUGAAACUUCACAAAGAUGCUGUUGUCAAGUGUGGCCCUGUAUCAGUUUGUAAUGGUGCACAUCAUGACUUGCAAAGGGCUUUUUGGGCUAUGGCAAAUCUAGAAAGACAGUGACAGUUGACCUUUCAUAUGCCAGGCAAGAGCUAGAUUGGGCAGAGGGGGGGUUUCAAGGUCAAGUUCAUAAUUGAAGAAUUACGUACCAGCUGAUAAUGUUGGCAAAAUUCUAACACCGUCUUUCCUGGAAGAAAACUAGAAGGAUCUGCUAUGUUUUCCCUUCAGGAUUCAGAGCUAAGUAGUGACUUUCAAAUUAAUAAUUAACUUCACAACGAUGAGACACUGUAGCCAGUACUAGGCUGAGGCCUAUAUAUGCAGUAAGUCCUGUCCCCUUCACAGCACCCCUGUGAGGUUGGUUGAUGCCCUUGGUACUCUAGUAUGUAGGCUUCAAGCGGCGAGGACUCAGCCUGACUUACUCUAUUUUCAGAAUACGGUACAGUUAUAAGACACAUCAUAGGUGUUCAGUACAAAUGUGUUUAGUAACUGUACCUCAUUUUGCAAUUUUAGAAGUGGAGCGCAGAAUGGUUAAGUGACUAGUCCAGGGUUAUGCAGCAAGCUAAGUGAGACAGCGUUCUUAGAGCCCACGCAGGGAAGGAGGCCUGUGGCAUCACUACUCUGUACGUAGCCUGCCCCUUAGUCAUCUUUGUUCCUGUCCUCAGCUGUGUGGGGCUUCCCUGAAUCCAGAGUUCUUACAUCAAGUUCUCUGGAGAGUAAACGUCUAAUCUUCUGCCCAGCUUGGAGUGAGAAAGCAGUUACCCAGCUGCAUGGGGCUAGGGAGAAAUCUUAGGGCCCGACUGCUUGGAUAGAUGGAAGGAUGGAUAGGUGGAUGGGUGGAUGAGUGGAUUUCCCAAUUGCUGCUAACAUAGGCUUUCAAGCAAUAAUUAUUAUUUUUUUUUCCCAAACAGUAAUUCUGUUUUCACUCCCAUAUGCACUUAACUUUCCGGGUAACUUGGUGUCUCCGCUUCUUGGGCCUUCCAAGGGUCCUGUACCUUGAAAUCAGUCUGCUUUGUUUUCCACUUUCUGUGAUCUAAAUUUGUGGCCAUUUGUCCACUUGCCUUCCAGUUCCCACCCUCUGUCCUGGUUGGUUUUGCUUUUUCGAUUAUUUUACUGUAUUUUAAAUGGGGUCUUGGAAGGAGCAUCAGAAAACAUGUUUAGUACACCAUGCUCAAACAAAAAUCCCUUACUCCUUUUAUUAUUUUACUUUUUUUUGUUGUUGUUGUUUAACGGUAACUCUAGGCCCUAUGGAGCUUGAACUCACAACCUCAAGAUCAGGAGUUGCAGGCUCCACUGAUUGACACAGCCAGAUACCUCUUAUUAUUUUAUUUUUUAAAGUUAGAUUUAUUUUUCUGAUUUCAAAAGUUAAUGUUUGCUAUUAAAAAAAAAUCUAUGUGUGU